CUUUACUGUAACCUGAAAUUGAAAUUGGACUUUAUUUGCGCAGGAUAGGUGGGAGGCGUUGAGAAUAUUCUUGCGGGAAUAUUGGAGCCAUCAGUGAGAUACCACUCUUGUAAUGUUAGAUUUCUAACUUUGUAUCAUUAUCUGGUCAAAGAACAGUUUCAGGCGGGCAGUUUGACUGGGGCGGUCGCCUCCUAAACGGUAACGGAGGCGCACAAAGGUUUCCUCUGAACGGGUAGAAAUCGUAUCUAGAGUGUAAAGGCAUAAGGAAGCUUGACUGUGAGACCUACAAGUCGAGCAGGGACGAAAGUCGGUCUUAGUGAUCUGACGGUGCUGAGUGGAAAGGCCGUCACUCAACGGAUAAAAGUUA
rnacentral:rRNA from 1 species